CACUGUAGGGCGAGGGACAGAGGGAAGGAGGGCUGAGGACCUGCGGUAGGACCCAGGGGACAGAGGCUCCGGGGGGAGGGCCGGGAUAAAGCCACUCCAAGGUAGGUGUGUACACACAGACACACAGCGAGUGGGUCACGGUGACACUGCCUGCGGGGUACAGUGACACAUGGAGACUGCCUGACCUCAAGUAACUCUGUGGGGAGAGGGAACAGCCAGAGGACCCAGCCCCGGCGUGCCCCACUCUUGCCCUGUCCUGAGCCUCCAGGUUCAUCUCCGGCAUCUACUGGCCUCCAGGCAAGCAAGAGAAAAAGAACAGAAGUUCCCAGCGGCGGUUCUGCAACAGCUCGAGCGCGGGGGACACGCGCAGCAGACGGCCCCAGACGCCUCAAGGCUGCGCGCGAAGACACGGCGCAGGCAGACUCACAGACGGGGCUCCCCCACCCUGGACACGGCGGCAGCGAGUUGGGAAGCCCAGGAAACCCCGGGUUCCCGUCGGAAGCCUCCUGGUACCCAGUCCCCUCCCGCAGCACCAAUCUGGGGCAGGACAUGGGGCCCCGACGCCUGCGGGAACCAGGGGCUCCCCAAAAUCCCCGGGGGAGGAAUUACCUCGCAGCGGGGGACGCAACCCGUUCGGGGUGCCAGCGAGCACAGCGUCUGCCCUAACCCGGCGCCCUGGUGCUGCUCGGCAUCAGGGUGCGGGGUCCCGGGAGAGGAGCCGUCCGGGGGGCCGCGGCUCAGGGGCGCGGGGCGAUGGCAGCGGCCAUAGCGAGUCACGUGCGGAGGCUGAAACUUUACCCGGAGCCCCAGACUGAAGGGGCGGAGGGUACGGAGCAGAGGUAGGGGGAGGCCCUGUCCCUCAGGCCCGCCCCUGCCCGCCCACCGACCAAUCACCAGUCAGGGGCGGAUCUACAGGCUCACGCCCGCCCCCGCCUCUCCUUAAUAGACCUCGGGAAAGGCGAGUCUUAAAGGAGCCGCUCCUAGUUGAAGACUGGACCGUGGGAAUCCGGGAGAAUCCCUCCCUCAGACCCAGAACCGAAGAUUCAGAGCAAGAACGGGGUGAGGUUCUGCGGGAAGAAUGAAAAUAGCGCUCGGUGGAGAAGACCGCAGCGUGUGGUAUCCUACACUCCUUUCCCCCCAACCACACACACACCCACACCUAAACCUGAGAAGUGAGGCGGCGGCGUAA